UUUAGGAUCGCUCAGUCGGUAGAGCAUGAGUCUCUUAAUCUCAGGUUCAUGGGUUCAAGCCGAACGUCAGGCAAAU